AUGGAACAACAUUUAUUUUCCAUAAUACGCACAAAAGUUUUCAGAUUUAUAAAACAAUGCUUACGCCAGAACCUGCGCAAAAAUCCCUUUAUAAAUCCCAGUCAGGGGAAGAUUGUGCGUACGUGCAUCUCCACCUCAUCUCCUCCCCAAAAUAACCAUAUAAGGAUCUUACAACGCCUUGUUUUACUAUGCAUAACCUCAUCUGCAUAUCAUUUCCAAGCAUAUUCCCAUGCAUGUGACACCAUGUUUAACACAGAGACAUUAAGGAAAUAUGAGAUGGGGACUAUAAUGCCAUUUGUGCCAUACAAAUUUUUUAUUGCUAAAAAUUAUCCAGUAUCCUUGUUACGUUUUAUAAUAAAUAUAUGAAAAUGUACAUAAAAACAAAAUGGUUUAAAGUUGUUCUCAGAUAUAUUUUAGAAUAGAGUUCUCAUUAUUUUACACUGGCCAAAUAGUAUUUCAAUUGUUUUAAACAAUUCAAAUCAAAUUAAAUGUAUGCAGUUUUGCUAAUGAACAUCUUUUAUCUAUUUUAGUGGAAACAGAUAGAUCCUUCAAAUAUAGUGGUAUUUUUCAUUAUGUUGUUGAGAUGCCUUUACACGACAUCAACACAGCUGCAGCUGCGGUUGUAAGCUAUUAUCAUUGGUCCUAUACUGGACAAUGGAUUGUUCGACCACUGAAUCCAGCAGUGUCCACCAUAAUAUUGAAGUAAGUGUGCAAAUAUUUCUCAUAACAUGUGAUCUGUAGUUUAGUUUAAAGUUGAAUUAUUGUGCACCUAUAGCACUCCUCGCUGUCAUUAAAACAUAGCAUACCACAGGAAAAAUUAUUUAGCCUAUUGUUAAUAAAAUUAUGUAAUUAUGUUUUUUGUAAAAUUAUGUAAUUUCAGUGUUUAUCUCCAUUAAUGCGAAUGGAGUAUUUAAUGUAAAAUACUCAUGUUGUUUGAAGUCCAUUGUGUUUUUUAAAAACCAAAGUCACUGCACCCGUUUACCAAGAAAUUUUGGAGCACUUCAUGCUUCCUUCUGCUGACCAGCUUUUUGAAGAUUUGCUACCUGCCCACACUGCCAAAAGCACCAGAAGUUGGUUAAAUGACCAUGGUGUUGGUGUGCUUGACUGGCCAGCAAACUCACCAGACCUGAACCCCAGAGAGAAUCUAUGGAGUAUUGUCAAGAGGAAAAUGAGAAACAAGAGACAAAAAAAUGCAGAUGAGCUGAAGGCCACUGUCAAAGAAACCUGGGCUUCCAUACCACCUCAGCAGUGCCACAAACUGAUCACCUCCAGGUCACGCCGAAUUGAGGCAGUAAUUAAAGCAAAAGGAGCCCCUACCAAGUAUUGAGUACAUGUACAGUAAAUGAACAUACUUUCCAGAAGGCCAACAAUUGACUAAAAAUGUUAUUUUUUUUUGGUCUUAUGAAGUAUUCUAAUUUGUUGAGAUAGUGAAUUGGUGGGUUUUUGUUAAAUGUGAGCCAAAAUCAUCACAAUUAAAAGAACCAAAGACUUAAACUACUUCAGUCUGUGUGCAAUGAAUUUAUUUAAUACACGAGUUUCACAAUUUGAGUUGAAUUACUGAAAUAAAUGAACUUUUCCACAACACUCUAAUUUAUUGAGAUGCACCUGUAUAUACCUAUAUUGUGCUUGUUAAGGUGAUUAGCUGACGAGCUCCAGCUGGGCCAGACUGAUUGAUUAUCUGAUCGUGCUCCUCCCGAACCUUUUAUUUUAAUACACGAGUUUCACAAUUUGAGUUGAAUUACUGAAAUAAAUGAACUUUUCCACAACACUCUAAUUUAUUGAGAUGCACCUGUAUAUACCUAUAUUGUGCUUGUUAAGGUGAUUAGCUGACGAGCUCCAGCUGGGCCAGACUGAUUGAUUAUCUGAUCGUGCUCCUCCCGAACCUUGUCAAUAAAACAUAAUUUAGCGCUUGCUCCAUUUCUGCUGAUCAGGUUUUGUAAAUGAAUGACUUAAUCCACCUGUUGCUUUGGUCUUCAUCAACAGCCGCUUGUGCCACCUACUGGUGAGGGACAGAAGGCAGAUGGAGAUCAUGCAUCGGUUCUCUACUGCUAUUCCUGCAGAUCCCAGAUGUGCAAUGACAAAUUUUCAACACUGAAUUUGUGGAAGAGAAUUUGGAAAGUGAAAUAAAAUGGACCGAAAUUUGCCUGUAGAAUAUUAUACAUCAUAUUUUUAAACUGAUUGAAUAUUUUGGAAGUGAAUUCUGGAAGGCAAAUAUGAACUAUUCAGUUUUUAAUUAUGAAAACGUGUGUAAAGUAUUUUGAAUUGAAAUAUUCAGAGCUUAAAUAAACAACUAUGUUAGAUUUCAGGACCUAAAAAUGCAAGCCCUGGAAAUACAAGGCAUUAAAAUGCAAGUACUGUUAAUGCAAUUAAUUAUUUUUUCAGUUAGUGCUAUUCAACAUGUUUUUUGUUUCAAAGACAUAUGGCAUUAUUUUAGUUCCAUAGAAGGUGGUCAUACGGCAUAAUACGGGACAAACUGAUGGCUUAAAUAUGGGAUGAUUCCAUAUUAUAUGAAACGUUUGGCAAACCUAUGUAAAAUGCAAAAGAGCAUUGUCUCGGGGCCCAUUAGGAUAUCCUGGUGUUAGUCACUCUACCUGUGAGAACAGAGUGUCUGCUUUUGUUCUGCCUGUCUGUGACUGUUUAUCUCUGUGUUACUACUGUCUGUUUCAUAAUGUCAGUGUGCAGCAUACAUCAGAUAUAAAGUGUGUGUUUGACCCAGAGCAUCGCUCAUGUCUCUUGAAAUACCGGUUUCACUGGUUCUCCCAGGAAAUGAAUUUCGGAGGUUUUUUCUUGAGGUGUCAGUUCAGAGGUGGAAUGACAAGCCUACAAACGUCCUAAUUUUUCACGGUAAGUUAGUAAAUACUGCUUCAUAAAAUACUGACCUGUCUAAAUCUGACCAAAUUUUAGAACUUUGGUUUCGGUCCUAAUUGAGAUAUUGACUGAUACUGAUAUUGAGAUAUUGGCUGAUACAAUAUGUUGUGCUCAUUGAUAAAACUAAUGCUGUUUUUCUGCUUGUCCUGCAGGAGUGAAUCAGUGAAGGGUGAUGACAUUUGUUUCAAAGCAGCUUUUGGCCGUUCUGGAUGAUCUAGUCACAGAUGAACUGAAGAGGUUUAAAUGGCACUUAAAGGAUCAUAAAGGUUUUUCAGCCUCUGAUCUGGAGAAGGCAGAUGCUCCUGACACAGUGGAUCUGAUGAAGAAGCGUUUCGGACCAGAAGAAGCUCUGAAGAUCACGGUGGAGAUCCUGAAGGAGAUAAAACAGAACCAUCUGGCUGAAGAGUUAGAGAAGAAACACAAGCAAGGUAACAGGUUAAAGUGAAACUGAAACUGUUAAUUGUGCCUUAAAAAUAAUAACAAUAAUAAAAAUCCGUUGAACUAAAGAAUUGAGUUUUUUAAAUAUAACAAAGUCUUUCUCAUAUAUGAAUUAUAUUUUUCUAUAAUUGUUUGACAGAGUGAAUAUUUUCAGAAUAAAUGUACUGUUGGCUUUGAGUUGAAGCUGAUGUGUUUGUGUGGUUUAAUCAAGUUUUUUGUCAUUCUGCUACAUGUGUGGACAUACAGUGGAGCGAAAUGUCGUGCCUCACAGGACCACAGUGCUACAUAAAUACAGACAUACAACAAUGAAGUAAAUCAGUAUAAACCUAUACACAACUAACAUACUGACAGAUUUUGACUGUAAAUAUACUAUAUAUAAAUGUUUACCUAUACAUAAACUAAAAAACACAAACUAUACGAAUGCGUCACAUAAUACAGUACAUGAGCAAAGAGAAACAUCGUAAGUGAAGCAGCUGGCUGGGGAACAGUGCAAGAUGAUUUGUAGUGAAUGUGCAUGUAAACACAUAUUUGAGUGGGAUUACGUACACACAGCAGUGUGUGAAAAGUGUCUAGUGCGCAUAGAGGAGAGACAGUGUUACUACCGGUGGUUUGUACAGGCCCACUCACCUGUGUGUAGCAUACUUCGAAUUGCACAAAAAGAUAAAGUUUCAGACAGUUUUUUUCUGUGAUGUGGUAAGGUUGGGGGGUGGAGGGGGUGAGAUGGACCAUGUUUCAGGAGGUAUGGGGUUUGUGUGGGGUUUCAGAGGAGGGUGGGGUGAUUUGAGUUCAAGGCUCUCACAGCCUGGGGGAAAAGCUGUUGAGCAGUCUGGUGGAGCAGGCUCUGAUGCUCCGGUACCGUCUUCCUGAUCGUAGGAGC
rnacentral:lncRNA from 1 species